rnacentral:misc_RNA from 1 species
CGCACCUUGCGCUCCUUGGUAUUCCGAGGAGCAUGCCUGUUUGAGUGUCAUGAAUCCCUCAAAUCCCAAUGUUUUGCGAAAUUCAUUGUUUGGAUUUGGUUGUGGGCGCUUGCUGUUUCACGACAGCUCGCCUUAAAGAGAUUAGCUGGACUAUCCGUAGCCUCUUGAUAGUUUCUACUUGAUGUGAUAAAAUUGCAUCGGUGGGUAAAAAGACUUUCGAGAUGCGUCUAUGUGAAGAAGUCUGCUUCGAAUCCGGCGAGAGGUUCCAUCCUCGACCCAUUUUUACAUCUCUGGCCUCAAAUCAGGUAGGAUUACCCGCUGAACUUAA